UACGGGGGGGGCAAGCGUUGUUCGGAAUUACUGGGCGUAAAGGGCUCGUAGGUGGCCAACUAAGUCAUGCGUGAAAUCCCUCGGCUUAACCGGGGAACUGCGUCUGAUACUGGAUGGCUUGAGUUUGGGAGAGGGAUGCGGAAUUCCAGGUGUAGCGGUGAAAUGCGUAGAUAUUAGGAGGAACACCGGUGGCGAAGGCGGCUACCUGGACCGAUAUUGACGCUGAGACGCGAAAGCGUGGGUAGCAAACAGG
rnacentral:rRNA from 1 species